rnacentral:ncRNA from 12 species
UGAUAUCAGGUCUGUGGUUGAAAGUCGAUGCUAGUCGCAGGCGAAACGAUCCUCGUAAGCAGGGACAGGUCUCUGUGAGCAUGGUGCGGUUUAGAAGUAAGUCCGUCCGCCAUUUAUGGCGAGAGAAGUAGUAGUGGGGACAAAAUGUUAUGAGCGAACCUUCCAGGCGGCGAGUGAGGGGGCAAAAACCAGGUCAGCUGAUAUUA